UUUGCCUACGGGACGCAGCAGUGGGGAAUAUUGCACAAUGGGGGGAACCCUGAUGCAGCGACGCCGCGUGAAGGAAGAAGUAUUUCGGUAUGUAAACUUCUAUCAGCAGGGAAGAAAAAGGACGGUACCUGACUAAGAAGCCCCGGCUAACUACGUGCCAGCAGCCGCGGUAAUACGUAGGGGGCGAGCGUUAUCCGGAUUUACUGGGUGUAAAGGGAGCGUAGACGGCAGCGCAAGUCUGGAGUGAAAUGCCGGGGCCCAACCCCGGAACUGCUUUGGAAACUGUGCGGCUCGAGUGCGGGAGG
rnacentral:rRNA from 1 species